UUACAUUUUUCUGCCAGCAGUGUUUGAGAGUUCUGUAUCUUCACCAGCAUUUACCCUUCUAACCUUUUGCCAAUAACCACUUUACCGGGAAUGAGAUGGUACCUCACCAUCGUUUUGACUUUCAUUUCUCUGAAAUUUAAAAUUGGAUAUUUAAAAAUACCACUGUUGGUCAUUCUGCAUUUCUUUAUUUGAAAAAUAAAUGUCUGUUGGGAUCCUGUGGCCAUUUUUAGAUGCAAAUUCUUUGUGGGUUUCGUUAUCUCUUGUUGCCGUUGUUACUAAGUUCUCUGAGCAUCCUCUAGACUCUGGAUAUAAAUCCUUUGGCGGGUGAACAGCGGGCGACUCCCUGGUUCUGGACCACAGGGCGUGGAUGCUCGUAGAGCUGCUUCAGUGGCCUUUCUGCCAAGUUGACUUUCGUUGGUGGGGAACAUGGAAAUUGGAGGGAGAGGAGAUGAUGUAGGGGUAUCUUUUCUCCAGAUUGGUCCUCGCUGGGUGGACACGCCCCCUGUUUCUGACGUCAGGACUCAGCUUCCCACUCUUCCAUCCUCCGGCUACUCCCACGGUCCACGAGCAGGUUCCUUGCGCUUCCGUUACUGGCUUCUUUGGGGCUGGUGAGGUAGGAUACCUGUGUCCAACAGGAUACACAGAGCAGGUUUCUUACCUGCCAGUAGGCAGCAAGGGACAAGAUAAAUCUAGAAUUCAUUGCUAGCCGGUUCUCCAAGGCUCGGGGGCUGUCUGAGGUAGCUAGCAUAGUCAUUGGUCCUAAAGGACCCCAGCAAGGCCUAUCCUGGGAAUUUUCUACCCAACAUAACCUUCCAUUUUGCAGUAAGAGGUUCAUUCUGCCCAAGGUAUCUGGAAUCCAUAGCCUAUUGUUCAACUUCCUGUCCCCGCAGGUGAUGGGAAGGGCCAUUGUACUUUACAGGAAGUAGAGACAGACUGUGGGGAGCUAAGUGCGUAACCACUUGUGGCUUUUCUGCCUUCUCAGGGACCUGCAGCCCGCACAUCUAGGUUUUAUCAGGAUGCUUCCUGGGAAAGGAGCUUGUUUUCGUGACUUCCUCUGCCAUGGUUUUAAGUUUCCGCUCCAUCAUCUGUACGUCUCUGUUCUUCAGCUUUCAGCUCCUGUAAACAUCGGUUGUGAGCUCACAUCUCUCCAUUCUUGUCGAUAGCAAUUGUGUGCUGACGUCCGUCCACGCCGGCCCUUUGGCCGUGUGGGUUUGAACCUCUUCUUAUUGCUUGCCUGUGUUUCAGUGACACUGCCGAAUGGAAAGAAGAAUGGGAGUGUCAGCAUGUCUGUGUGGACACUUAGCUCUUCUGCCAGAGAUGUGAGAUCAACUAUUCUUCCUAUGGAUGUUUGCACGCUGUUUAAAAAUGGAAGCAGUUGCAGGAUGUGACUUAAUUUGUCGGCCAUUUAUACUCUCACGGCGUUGUCUUUACACUUGACUAGGAGAGUGGAGGUGUUGAACGCUCACUUUUGUCUGCUCCUGCUAAUGAAGCCAUGAUUAUAAAUAUGAAUUUCUUGGCUGCAAAACACUAAACGGCUUCCAGAAUUGUUUUCCCUACUGAGAAUUUCUAGGGAUAUCUCCAUCUACCCAGAAGUCAGUUCUGGUCACUUUGGAAUUCACUUCUUGCGAAGCCCAGACCACACAAUAGCCUCACAGAGGAAAUUCUAGCACACUGCUUUAACUAACAAACACCCCAGCUCCCUUCUCUAACAACCCCAUCCUCUGCAGGGGGCUCCCGCUCUGAGGCCCUCUGCUCUGUCUAACUAGCCUCCUCUGACUGCUCCUUAGCCCGGAUGAGCAUAGCUUCCUUUGCUGUCAUGAUGAACGCAUGCUCGAAAACUGCCAACAUCUAGGCUUCCCGAGAUCGAUCCUGCUCCUCAUACACACUUCUGUAAUGCAGAAACCCCAUGGGAUCUUGAGAUCACCCCACUGUAGACUGUGAGCCCCUCUAUAGACUUCCUUCCCUCCCAUGCAGAUGAAAGGACACUGAAAUACAGGAAGGAAUUCUAUUGCUUAUUCCCAAAGCCACUGAAUAACCAGAUCCUGCCGGUAGAGACAAUGGAACAGGUAGACAAAGAUUAGAGAUGAAAGGUCUCCAAAGGUCACACAAUGUUAUGGGAAGAGAAAUUACAGAGUUCCUAUUUAUUUACUUAUUUAUUUAUUUAUUUAUUUAUUUUUAAAAGUAUUUUUAUUUAUUACAUAAGUACACUGUCGCUGUCUUCAGACACACCAGAAGAGGGCAUCAGAUCCCAGAUGCCCACAGAUGGUUGUGAGCCACCGUGUGGUUGCUGGGAAUUGAACUCAGGACCUCUGGAAGAGCAGUCAGUGCUCUUAACCACUGAGCCAUCUCUCCAGCCUCUAGUUUCUAUUUAUUUUUAAUUUCACGCUUAAAAACAAUCAACACAUACAUAUAUUAGCAAUAAAUAAAUAAAUAAAUAAAUAAAUAAAUUCUACAAUCCAUGAUCAAAUAUCUUUUUUUUUUCUAAACAUGGUACAGAUUUCUUAGAGCAGGCAAAACAGCAGUGUCUACAAGAAGGAUCUGGAAAAACAAGAGACCUUAGUCACUAUUGUACUAAUUCAUUUAACAAUCUCACUUGAAGGAUGGUUCUCACAGGGUUUCUGUGUAAGUGUCAUGUCUGUAAGUCCCUUAUUUAUCUGUAUGGAGACAAAACAUUUUUGUUUUCAAUUUUCUGGAAAUUCUGUGUUUGCCUCCCAAGACUCUCAGAUCUACACAACAUUAAAGUUUUAGGUGAAUAGCAUCAACAUUUUGGUACAGCUACCAUUCGUGGCGAUGUUCACCUAUGUUGACAUACAAUUUUACUAUCUUUUCAAUUUGUGAGUUCAGUGUUCACUCUAAGUUUCCAUAAAGCUAUGCAUUUAAUUGCUGUUAGCCAUGGGGCGGCUGGAUGCUGAUAGGCUUAAGGAAUGAAUCCAUUCACUCAGCAAACAGAGCUGGGUUUCUCCACACCAAGCGAGAGACACUUCUCUAUUGUUGGGGCCAGGCUCUUGCCUAUGAGGAUUUGGCCCUGGCUCACCCAGUGGAACUUGCAUACAACCAUGGGGAAAUGGCUAAGAAAGGAUUCUACAGUAGCAAGCUGCCCUGUGGGUGUGGCCAAAAAAUGCAGUGCUGAGAAUCCGAAGGGCUUGAAUUCCGUUAGAUAGUAUAUCAAGGUCUGUGACUUAGGGUCUAAAUCUGAAACUUACAUUGUCUUGUCUAGAAGUUGUGUGUUCCAUCUCUUACUCUAUAACCAGCCUCUAAGAGACCUCCGUUGAUCUCUACCAUGUAAGGAUUCCCCAAUCAGGGUGAUCUGUGACAAGCAGAAUGUUGAGAAAAAGAUGGUGAACUCCCUUCUAAGCUUAGGAUACAAUCGCAUCAUGGUUUCAGUUUUGACUGUUAUGCUUCAUUCUGCUUCUCUCUUGGACCAUUCUGUCCAGGGAACUGAACUUUCAUGUUGAGCAUCCGUUACUGGGUUAGGAAUUAGGUCUAUAAACAUUCGAGUUUGCUCCCUGCCCCCGGCCCCAAAUAGGCACAUUUUGAAGCCUUGGUCCCUAGAUGUGGCACUGUUGGGAGGUGGUAGAACCUUUCGUGGAAGGAAGUUAUGUUGUUGACGACACACCCUUGAAGAUGAUAUUGGGAUUCUGGUUCCUUCUUUUUCUCUUUGCUUACUUUCCAGCUGCCAUGAGGUAAACAGCUUCCUCCGACACACUCUCCACUGUGAUUCUCGAGUGACUCUUACGCUCCUUAAGAUUUAAAUUGUGAGAGAUCACUUGAAACUCUCAGACCACUUGAGAUCAACACUGUCCAGUAUGGUAGCCGUCAGACACGUGUGGCUGUUCGGUUCGUGAACCAUAGGUAGCCAGAAUUAAAGAUGCUGGAGCAUAAGCUACCGAAAUUUGAAGACAGACCGAAGAAAAGUAAUGUCUCUCGUUAAUAACUUUAACACUGAGUUGGGGAGAUGACGCAGUAAUGUGCUGACUGUGUAAGCUUGAUCCCCAGUUUACUAAUUAAAAAAAAAGAAAGCCAGGUGUGCUAAUAUUUAUAAUCUCGGUGUUGGGAAAGCAGAGACAGGGAGGGGGCUCUCGGGGGCUCUCUGACCAGCCAGCCUGGAUGAAUCAGUGAGUUUCAAAAACCAAGAUAGACAUCAUUCUGAAGAACCACACUCAAGGUUGUCCUCUUGCCUACACACACAUGUAUAUCCAAAACCACAGAAAUUUGAGAUGCCUUGAUGGAAAAGCUUUUAACACUGUCACGUAUCAGUGUGGUAUUUUUAAUAUAUUAGGUUGCACAGAACAACAUCUUUUAAGAUCAAUUUCACCCAUUUUCCCUUUUUUGCAAAUGGACUACUGGGAUGUUUAUAACUCUACCCAUGACUGUCCAGUGUGGCUAUUCUUGGCACUGCUUAGUUGGCUGUGAUAACAUAGAGCAAAAGAGACACGGGCAAGCGUGGCCAUUCCAUUGGAUGGAACCAAGGCAUGGAUAGGAUCAACAUAGCCUGUGGGAUGCUCUUGCUCACUCUGAGCUGAAUGGUGCGGCUUGAGGUCUAGGGGAAAGGCAGCUGGGGAAGGGACAUGUCAAGGUUCUGAAUCCAGAACAGAGUUCCCCUAGUGCUAGGCAGCAGCCUCAGACAUACAAGUCUAACAUACACGCCAUCUUGGUACCUACUGUGUGAGAAUGUUUCUAUCAUGCCGCUUCCCACACCCUGAACUGAUUCAGUUCGGAACUGUGCAGAGAACCUUCAGCUUUUGUCUCCCAGCAUUCCCCACUUGCCUUUGGUUGCCCAUAUUCAACUGCAGCCCCACAAUAUUAAGUGGAACAUUUCAGAAAUAAAGAAUCCAUAAACUGUAGCAAAUUUUAUUGCAGCACAUUAUCAUAAUGUUUCUGUUUCCUUAUUAGUUAUUGUAAAUCUUGUUAUACCUAACUGAUAAAUCAAAGUUCAUCAUAAGUGUGUGUGGUGUGUGUGUAUAUGUAUAUAUAUACACAUAUAUAUGCAUGUGCAUGUAUAUAUAUACACAUAUAUAUGCAUAUAUAUGUAUGUAUAUACGUAUGUAUGAAAAAUAUCAGUUCGUGUGUGUGUGUGUUUUUUCAGCAUCUGUAGGACACUUUAGGAAGUAUCUCACAUGGAUGGAUGGUAGCUGAUUUUUUUUUGCAUGAAGGGAGGGGAGAAAAUGGACUUCGCUAAGAGGAAGGGGAGUACCUUGCAUACUGGAUAACAAAGGGAAGGUCUGGUUUACUGCCUAAAUCUAGCUUGCAUGUCCAAUUAAGUGUAGGAAUCUAUUGAUUUUCCGCCUGCUGCAUGAUUUGAGGUCUCUGCUGGGUGAGUUUUGGGGUUUACCCACUGGCUGUUUAAUUUCCUGAUGUUACCUGACUGUAUUGGUCUGUGUGAGGCAAAAAGAGCUUCUGAGAUCCAAACAGUCUAUCCCUCAGAGAGUGACAAGGUCAGCUGCUGAAGGCUAUCCCAGCCCUUGACCAUGCUUGGUUACUGUGCCGAGACCCUGGUUCUGUUCUAGUCAUUGUUGAGUGCCCUGGCCAAUAGCUGCCACUUGUCUCUGUGAGUUUUUGUCUUACUGGUUAACUAGUUUCUUGGUCAGAAAAGUCAGGGUGCUCUUGGAUUCGUCCUGGAACAUUUUUAGAGUGCACGUGAAUAAGAACAUUGUGUCUUUCAGGCAGAAAGCACUUUGCUGAGGAUAAUUGACUGUGUUCCAGGACUACCUGUAAAACAGAAACAUUGUAACAGAAGAGAACACUGCCCGGUGCUGGGAAUGCUGUCCCGGACAGAGUUCAGCUUCUACUAUUGCAGCUCAAGUAGUCUGACCAUUUGAAAAGCACAGUAACGGAGUCCUAGUCAAACUCACAAGGUUCUCCAUGGGCAGCAGAGACCCCAGGGACGUCAAGGAGAGCGAAUACUGUUCUCCUGCCUUUGAUGGAACCAAACAGAGCAAUCGAUGCUUCAUGAUUUUCAUAAACUGGGGGACCAGCAGACACCUGAGCUCCUGGUGGAGGAUUCUAGUAGCUCCAGAUGAAUCCUGAGGCAGCAGGAUCUUUGGCUCUCAAGAACAAUCUAGAACAUGUUCACCUGAAGGUGCAUCUGCUGUGGGAAGGAAGGCUCCCGAGUCCAAUGUGGGUAGAUCCUGAAGAAGACUCCAGAGACAGGGUGUUGAGGAAGGAGAGGUGUCUACAUAAGCUCCCCCAUGAAGCAGAGAGCCCUGAGGUGAUGAAGAGGGAGUGACUAAUGACAGGAGUAUUUCCCAGCCUCACCCUGCCUUCAUCACUGGGAUGCUAAGCCCAGGCUUUAAGGAACAGAUCCACUUAAAGGUCCUUGGGGUUCAGAAAAGUCUAGCUUGGACCGCACUGAAAAGAUAGAAUUGGAAACAGGCAGCCCCUAUUCAAAUUCACUUUGUAUGCAGCAGACUGCCCUAUUUUGGACUGGUGCUCAGAGGAGCACCAGCCGUGGAUGGCUGAUCUUCUAUCCAGUGUGGUAGAAAGAAUGCCCGUUCUCCAGCCUACUCAUAGCUAGAAGCACUUCCACACUCCCCAGGAUUGGAGACACACUCUGGGCCUAACACAGGACCUCUCUGUAUUAUUAGGAUACAUGUCCCUCGAGAUACCUAGUUAUAUUUGAUGCUUGAUUCUCCUGCACAGUGCCCCUGUACUGAGGACCAGCUUCCUGGGGGACAUUCUUGUUUUUCAGACAGUUCAUUUCUACUACAUAAGGUGGUUUUCAGCCCCACCAUUCCCUCAGUUGUUGUCUGAUCAGUGGAGGACAGAACAUACCAGUGCUCGACUAUGAAACAGAUGUCUAGUGACUGGAGGCAUGUGGCUCAUUCCCUCAUGUCUUCUCUUAACCAGGAAUCCGGUUGCCCAUUUGAUUUGGUUUAGCUUGGAUGUAAGUUCUCUCACCACGCUGCAGUUCUCCCUAGGCUAUGUUGCUGGUGGGAUAGCAAUAUUAGCAACACGUACAUCACCGUGACCGAAAUGCUUGUGCUGCCCAAGGUGUCAGAAUUUAAAAUAAAGAUGGGAACAAACCUCUGGCAAUGUCUUGUAAGUGAACUUCUAGAUUAGAUUAAUGUAGAUGAGAAGACCUACUCUAAAUGUAGGCAGUACCAGUCCACGGACUAGAGUCCCGAGCUUGAUAAAGAGAAGGAAACAGGGCUGGACAGAUGGCUCCAUGGUUAAGAGCAUUUGCUGCCACUGCAAGGGGUCAAGGUAUUGUUCAAAUCACCUACAUGGUGGCUCACAACCACCUGUAACUUCCAGAGAAUCUAACACCCUCUUCUGACCUCUACAGGCAUCAGGCACAUACAGUGCACAUACAUACAUGCAGGCAAAAUAUUCAAACACAUGAUGAUGAUGAG